CCUACGGGGGGCAGCAGUCGGGAAUAUUGCGCAAUGGAGGAAACUCUGACGCAGUGACGCCGCGUGCAGGAAGAAGGUUUUCGGAUUGUAAACUGCUUUAGACAGGGAAGAAAAAAGACAGUACCUGUAGAAUAAGCCCCGGCUAACUACGUGCCAGCAGCCGCGGUAAUACGUAGGUGGCAAGCGUUAUCCGGAAUGAUUGGGCGUAAAGGGUGCGUAGGCGGCAAAAUAAGUCUGAAGUAAAAGGCGUUGGCUCAACCAACGUAAGCUUUGGAAACUGUUAAGCUAGCGUGCAGGAGAGGUUAGUGGAAUUCCAUGUGUAGCGGUAAAAUGCGUAGAUAUAUGGAGGAACACCAGUGGCGAAGGCGGCUAACUGGCCUGUAACGGACGCUGAGGCACGAAAGCGUGGGGAGCAAAUAGGAUUAGAUACCCUUGUAGUC
rnacentral:rRNA from 1 species